AUCCAAAAAUCUCUCGUUGUCCUCCGACUAUGCUCGGGGUCCACUACCUGUAACAUAAAAAGCUGAGUGGGUCAGGCUUGGGAGCCUGGUGAGCAUAUAGGGUUUUCAACCCACAAUAAUAAUAAACUUACUAAGUUCAUCAAUCAACAAUAACCCUGAUUACCCGUUCCCGUUAUCCUCACUUUAUGUCCCUAAACACUUGUCACAAGGGACCUAGCCUAAAGAAUAUCAUCGGGAUGGACACUACUGCUAAGGGGUUUCCUCAGCCAUACAUGUCCUAAAGGCAACCAUGAGGGGGAUGGAGUACAGCGAAUGAACACUCUCAGUUCAUUAACACCUACAGGUUGCGGACCUGCUAAUGUUUCCCACUGGACUGUCUAGAAAGUCCGUGGUCGUCAUCCAAACUCCGCUAGAUGACUGGAUCUCAAAACACAUCGAGGCCUCUCAUCAAUUUUAUUUUAUCACACAUCACAAUCUACCCAUGUUCUACCCAACAUAUUUGUAGAUAAAAAUACUUAUACAGUUUAAAACUUGUAUAAAACAUCAACACAACAAUCACCUCAAAUAAACAAUUAAUAUAUUUACACAUAGCACGUAUUAUAAGGUAAAUACUUCAUAUCUAUGUGUAAAAUGAAAGUCACUAUACACUCACAUGAUUUGAUGAUAAUCGGGCAGCAAUUCGUUUCCUAAAACGAUCGUUUCUAAUAAAACCGGGAGUUUUAUUGAGAAACCGGGCUUUGCAAAAGUCGGGCUUCGAAACCGAAAAAAUAAAUUUUCCAGGCUUCUCGGGCACUUCGUGGCGUAUUCCGGGCUUUACAAUCGAUACCGGGGCUUUGGGGGAUUCUAAGAUGAAGAGAAUAUGAAGAGAGGGGCUAAAUAUGGAAAAACUCCAAAAGUAACUGAGAACCUUCGCAGGUACCCUUCUAUUUAUAGGGUCCAAAGUCCUGAUCCAAGGGCUGAGAGUCUUCUGAUCUGACGGCUGAGAGGCUUUGCAGGGGGUGGCUCGCACGAGGGUAGCAUGUGCGAAGGGUUGCUGGCUUCUUGUGAUUGGUCUGAAGCGUGUGUCCGAUGUGCAGGUGGUCAGCUCGUGCGAGGGCCUCGGUGGCACUCGCUGAUUGGAUCGCAGAGUCACAACCCAUGUGUGAAGCUCGGAGCUAGGGUGCGAGGUUCGGUCCGUAUGCGAGCCUCGGAUUGGACCUCCCUUCGGUCAAAUCAGAAUCUGACAUGUGGCUUCGCAUGACUCAGCAACUUCGGUGACUCAGCAGCUUGGUGACUCAGCAGGACACGUGGCACAUUCUAAGCGAGGGUGACGUGGCAAAGUGUGACUAUGCGAAUUUUCUCGAUUUUCGCGCCAAAACUUCUAAAAUCCAUAACUUUCGCAUACGAGCUCCGUUUUUGACGUUCUUUAUAUGCACGCGUAGCUAAAAUUACGCUCUACAACUUCCGUUUAGACUUCGUCGGCUAAUUUUGAAUUUAAAUUUUAUAUUAUUAUUUUUAACAGACCGGGACAGGAAAUCUGUUAAAAAUUCAUAACUUCUUCAUCCGACGUCCGUUUUCGUCAGACUUUUUACCGUUGUGCUCCUAAUGACGAGACCUUCAAUUCUCGUUUAGGUUGUGUCGGCUAAAAAUCGCUCGAUCUAAAAUUCGAGUUUUUAGCUGUCUACUGCUAAGCUGAAACUUCGAAAAAUCAUAACUUCCUCAUACGAAGUCAGAUUUGGGCGUUCUUUUUAUCGAACUUCUCGGUUUAACGAAUACUACGACUUUCGUUUAGAUUACUAAGGCUAAAAAGUAGUUUAUCAAAAACUCACUUUUUACGACAUUCAGCACCGUGCCGGUUUUGUCGCGAAACUUCGACAGGUCAUAACUUCUUCGUUAUAACUCGGAUUUUGGUAUUCUUUAUAUCCCCGAAAUCCUUGUUUCGACCACUACAACUUUAUGUAAAGAUAUCGGGCUUAUCUCACACUUUAAUUUUGACGCUUAUUUUUAUUCUUAAUUAAUUAAGCCCUAAUAAUUAAGCAUAAAACACAUAAUUCACAUAAUAUUCACAUAAUUCCUUUUCAUUUCUUCAAAAUGAGUUACAAAGGUUAACCUAGACUAUCAACUCAAUAUAAAUGCCUAGGCUAGAAACACGAGUGUUACAAUUCUCUCCCCCUUAGGAUGAUUCCGUCCCCGGAAUCACAUAUCACCAAACAACUGCGGGUAGCGACUCAUCAUGUCACUCUCCGUUUCCCAAGUGAGAUUUGGUCCAUUCGUAUGUUUCCAGCGCACAAGCACUAAAUCGACCAUCUUGCGUCGUAACUUCAUAGUCUUACGGUCAACGAUUGCCUCAGGUUCUUCGAUCAACCUCUUGUUUUCAUCCAACCUUAACUCAGAAAUCGGAAUUAUGUCGGGCACAUCUCCUGUGAACUUUCUCAAAUAACACACAUGAAAGGUGUUAUGAAUACCCUCUAGUUCUUCCGGUAACUCUAGCUUGUAAGCUUGAUUCCCGAUUCUCUGAAGAACUUUAAAUGGUCCAAUAAACCUUGGACUCAACUUCCCUCUCUUACCAAAUCUUAUAAGUCCCUUCCACGGCGAGACUUUAAGUAAAACCGAAUCUCCAACAUCGAAGGAUAUCGGUUGUCUUUUCUUGUCAGCAUAACUCUUUUGUCGAUCUUGAGCAGCUAACAUCCUUUCCCUUAUCACUUUCAACUUUUCAGCAGUCUCAUGGACUAUUUCAGGUCCCAUAAACUGCUUUUCCCCAGCUUCCAGCCAACAUGAUGGCGUUCGACACUUCUCCCCAUACAAAGCGUGAUAAGGUGCCAUCUUAAUGCUUGAGUGGAAACUAUUAUUAUAGGAGAAUUCUACUAAAGGUAAGUGUUCAUCCCAGUUACCUUGGAAUUCUAGGGUACAUGCUCUCAGCAUAUCCUCCAAUGUUUGAAUCGUUCGCUCGCUCUGACCAUCGGUUUGCGGAUGGUAAGCUGUACUCAAACACAACUUGGUACCCAAUUCCUCUUGUAGACUCCUCCAAAACCUUGAGGUAAAACGGCUGUCACGAUCGGACACAAUCGUUAACGGAACACCGUGAAGCCUCACAAUUUCCUUCACGUAAGAAUUCGCAAGUUUAUCCAUAGACCAUUUCUCUUUGGCCGCUAUGAAAUGCGCACUCUUAGUGAAGCGAUCAACGACCACCCAAAUCAUGUCGUGACCGUUCCUUGUUCUGGGCAGUUUAGUCACAAAAUCCAUGGUGAUGUCUUCCCAUUUACCCAUGGGUACGGGUAAAGGUUCUAAACUCCCAUACGGUUUCUGAUGUUGUGCCUUAACCCUAGCACAAGUUACACACUCGGCCACAUACUUAGCAACAUCGAGCUUCAUCGUCGGCCACCAAUAAUAGGGUUUUAGAUCCCUAUACAUUUUCGUACUGCCGGGAUGAAUUGAGUACAUGGUCUUGUGAGCUUCUUCCAUCAGAAGAUCUCUUAUUCCGCCCGUCUUAGGUACCCAAAUUCUAUCUUGAAAUACCUUCAACCCUUGGUUGUUUGUACCGAACACUAACGUUUUGCCCAAACGUUCUUCCUUUCGGUCAUUUUUCUCUAAAGCUUCCUCUUGAGCUUUCUUUAUACUUUCCACAAUUGUCGAGACAACUUCAAUUCUCAACGCUCUUGGCCUUUUCUUUUCAAGGUUUACCUUCCGACUGAGAGCAUCGGCAACAACAUUUGCUUUACCAGGGUGGUAAAGUAUCUCACAGUCGUAGUCCUUGAGUAACUCUAGCCAGCGUCGUUGCCUCAUGUUCAAUUCCUUCUGAUUAAAGAGAUAUUGAAGACUCUUAUGAUCAGUGAAAAGUUUACACUUUGUGCCAUAAAGAUAAUGCCUCCAUAUCUUUAGGGCGAAUACUACCGCUUCUAACUCCAAAAGUGGGGUAGUUCUUUUCAUGCUCCUUCAAUUGCCUUGAUGCAUACGCUAUCACUUUAUCCCUUUGGGUCAGAACACAACCUAACCCAACUCCAGACGCAUCGCUAUAAACUGCGAAGUCAUCAACUCCUUCAGGCAACGAAAGAAUCGGUGCUUCACACAAUCUCUUCUACAACUUCUCAAAGGCUUCCUUAUGCUUCUCAUUCCAAGCAUAAGUAGCUCCUUUGUGGGUCAAAGCUGUUAAUGGAGUAGCAAUCGAAGAAAAGCCUUGGAUAAACCUUCGGUAAUAUCCAGCUAAUCCUAAAAAGCUUCGAAUCUCCAUAAAGCUUUUUGGUUGUUCCCACUUCAUCACAGCUUCAAUCUUUGCUGGGUCAACCAUUACUCCUUCUUGGUUAACCACAUGACCUAAAAAUUGGACUUCUUGAAUCCACAAUUCACAUUUGGAGAACUNCUUCUCCUUUUUCAGGAUUUCUAGCACUUCACGCAGAUGCUUUUCAUGCUCCUGCUUGCUUUUCGAAUAAAUCAAGAUGUCGUCUAUGAAUACUAUCAUGGAUUUAUCUAAGAAUGGUUUACAAACCCUAUUCAUCAAAUUCAUGAAAGCUACUGGGGAAUUGGUUAGUCCGAAUGACAUAACCAAAAAUUCAUAGUGUCCAUAUCUUUUUCUAAACACAGUCUUUUCGAUAUCCUGAUCUCUCACCUUUAGUUGAUGGUAUCCCGACCUAAGAUCGGUCUUCGAGAAAUAGCUCGAACCCUACAACUGGUCGAACAAGUCGUCGAUCCUUGGCAACAGGUACUUAUUCUUUAUCGUCACUUUUUUCAGCUCUUUGUAAUCAAUGCACAUUCUCAUGCUUUCGUCUUUCUUCUUUACAAAUAACACAGGGGCUCCCCAGGGCGAUGAACUAGGUCGAAUAAAACCCUUGUCCAAUAACUCCUGAAGUUGUGUAUUAAGUUCUUUCAUCUCUGUUGGUGCUAAUCGAUAUGGUGCUUUUGCUAUCGGCGUCGUUCCUGGUAACAAGUCGAUAUGAAAUUCUACUUGUCGAUCAGGGGGCAAUCCGGGAAGAUCUUCGAGAAAGACUUCCGAAUAAUCACACACCACCGCAAUAUUCUGCACCUUCUUUUCCAUCUUAGCAUCGAUCACGAACGCUAGAUAUGAUGUACAUCCUUUGGCCAAACACUUUCUNCUCCUUCUUUUCCAUCUUGGCAUCGAUCACGAACGCUAGAUAUGAUGUACAUCCCUUGGCCAAACACUUUCUGGCUUUCAUUAGGGAAAUGAUUCCAGAGUUUACUCUGCGUUUGUCUCCGUACACCAUAAACGACUCUUUCCCUGGCGGGUUUACUUUUACUAUCUUCUUUCUACAUAGUAUUUCUGCAUCAUUGGCGCUAAGCCAAUCCAUUCCUAAAACUAUGUCGAAUCCAUUUAACUCGAUAGGCAAUAAUUCCUCUUGGAACUUAUUCCCAUCCAAGUCAAUGAGGAUGUUUUUCAUACGAUGGCUAACAGGUACAAACUUGCCACUAGCAAUCUCGACUAAUAAGGCAUUAACUAGCCUAUCUACAGGCAAAGCUAGCUUUCUACCAAAUUCAUGCGAUAUAAAGGAGUAAUUGGCUCCAGAAUCAAACAAAAUUUGGGCAGGCAAUUCGUUUACGAGAAAGGUACCUGAAGCGACAUCGACUUCUUCUUUUGCAGCUUCAAGUGUCAUCUGAAAGGCUCUCGCCUUCGGCUUUGGUGGUAGAUUGGGCUUUGCGGCAUCCUUCCUCUUUGGACAGUCUUUAAGAACAUGCCCUACUUCAUGGCACUCAAAACAUACCCUCUUGUCGGACGGACACACGUUGGCAUAAUGCCCAGUCUUUCCACAUUUGAAGCAAGUCACCUCCUCACUACAUCUCCCAGAGUGCUUUUUCUUGCACUUCUCACACCAUUUCACUUCACCUCCUCCUCCUCCAAACUUCUUGGACUUAGAAAAUUUGCUUUUCUUGUUGGAACCCGAAGUUCCUUCAAAUUUUUUCUUUUCACCAACUUCUGCCCUCUCCAGACCCUUCUAUUUGAUCUGAACUUUGACAUUCUUAGCAGCCCAUAUGGCGGCUUUCAAAGUGGUUGCUUGCUUAACCAUCGGACCAAAGUCCACUGGUAAUCCGAGGGCAAACUUGUUGACCUUAGAGAGUUCAGUUGGAACUAGAUGAGGAACUAGCUUCAUCUUUUCCAUAAAACUAGCAGCGUAUUCAGUAAUGCUCAUCUUUCCUUUCUUUAAAUUAUGGAACUCAUUAUUGAUUUCCAGAAGAUCCUGCUGNUUUUAGUUGUAGUACAAAGUCUUCCCAAGACAUCUUACUAGCUUCUCCCUUGGGCGUCGAAUUAGCUAGUAACUUCCACCAGUUCAACACACUAGACCUUAAUAGAGGAAUUGCAAGUGCGGUCUUUUGUUUGUUACUGCACUCACAACUUUCAAACACCGUCUCCAUUUCAGAGAUCCAAUUCAUGACUUCCACCGGUGUCGGACUUCCAGAUAGACACGGCGAUUUAGAUGCCAUGAAAUCUUUGUAUUUGCAUCUGCGCCCAUCAACUCCUCCAUCCUGGUUGUUUUGUCUAACUAUCGGUGGGUUGGCUUGACCAAGAGUCUCACUGUAGUUCCCUCCUACUGAUUGCCCUUCAUUCAAUACGGGCUGUUCAACAGGCAUCGUAGUCUCUUCCCUAUGUUGUUGUAGUAAGCGCCUUGUCUCUUCCAUUUGGCGAUCUCACAUCAUCUGGAUAAUUACUUGUACCCCAGCCAUCGUCAUUGGCUCGGGUGCAGCUCCUACAACAGGUACUUGCUCAACUACUUGAGGUUGAGGCUGUUGAUCCCUGUUUCCGUUUGCAUUUGCAGCUCCACUACGAGUUCUGGCCAUUACAAUCUAUAUAACGAAUAAGGCGAAUUUAGGUCUUUAUCCUUGUUAGACAUGUCAAUUCCCUUAUCACUCCGAAACGUUUACAUGUUAGUUCUAAUCUCGUAAUCAUACGCUUAGAAUCCUACACACAUAAGGUUUCCAGAUCCGGUCGGCAACAGACCAUAGAUCCGAACAAAUAAUGGCACACAUGGCAAACACAUAGCAUUUAGCACAUAAGGGCAUUUUAGGCAUCUUCCCUAAAAUAAACUAGUGCUCGUGUCUAAAAUAUGGUAGACACUCAUCUCACAAUCAUCACUUAGCAUUCUAAGUUCAAGUCUAGAAAUUCUACAAUUUCUUAGUUCGCUUAAACUAAUGCUCUGAUACCAACUGUGACAUCCCCUAAUUUCUCGGCCAGAAAAGACCGAUUUAAUUUAUGCUUUUUAAAAUAAAAUCAGAGAAAUCUUUUUAAAAGAUGUUGCGGAAUUGGUCCCCAAACAAAAUAUGAUAAAAGUUUAUCAAAACCCUUCAUUAAGAAGGUAUAUGUUUUCCAUAUAUAUAUCAAAACCUCGGGAUGUCAUGUUCCGAUACAGAUCAAAAGCAUAAACAAGACAUUAUAAGCCUUUCAACAGUUAUUUACAACUACUGGCCUAUAAUCCAAAAAUCUCUCGUUGUCCUCCGACUAUGCUCGGGGUCCACUACCUGUAACAUAAAAAGCUGAGUGGGUCAGGCUUGGGAGCCUGGUGAGCAUAUAGGGUUUUCAACCCACAAUAAUAAUAAACUUACUAAGUUCAUCAAUCAACAAUAACCCUGAUUACCCGUUCCUGUUAUCCUCACUUUAUGUCCCUAAACACUUGUCACAAGGGACCUAGCUUAAAGAAUAUCAUCGGGAUGGACACUACUGCUAAGGGGUUUCCUCAGCCAUACAUGUCCUACAGGCAACCAUGAGGGGGAUGGAGUACAGUGAAUGAACACUCUCAGUUCAUUAACACCUACAGGUUGCGGACCUGCUAAUGUUUCCCACCGGAAUGUCUAGAAAGUCCAUGGUCGUCAUCCAAACUCCGCUAGAUGACUGGAUCUCAAAACACAUCGAGGCCUCUCAUCAAUUUUAUUUUAUCACACAUCACUAUCUACCCAUGUUCUACCCAACAUAUUUGUAGAUAAAAAUACUUAUACAGUUUAAAACUUGUAUAAAACAUCAACACAACAAUCACCUCGAAUAAACAAUUAAUAUAUUUACACAUAGCACGUAUUAUAAGGUAAAUACUUCACAUCUAUGUGUAAAAUGAAAGUCACUAUACACUCACAUGAUUUGAUGAUAACCGGGCAGCAAUUCGUUUCCUAAAACGAUCGUUUCUAAUAAAACCGGGAGUUUUAUUGAGAAA
rnacentral:lncRNA from 1 species